CGCCCACCAGGGACAGCCUGAGCGCCCCCUAUUGGUCCGGUGCGGCCCUCAGAGAAGUAUUUCCCAGGUGCAGACAACGCGGCUGGUUUCUACUGGACGCCGGUUCACACAACUGCAAGAGCCGGGGAAACGACCCUCAGAAGCAACUAGAGCCAGUGACGGCGGGAGAAACGGAGACUUAGAAGACGGGAGACAGGAGAGAAACCCUGAGUGGAAUCAGACUGACAUCCGGACCCCUUGGGAACCAUCAGCCCACUUCGAGUGGUGACCAGUGUUAGCAUUGCUGCAGCCUCCACCCUGAGCACCCAGGAACAGAGAGAGCAUGAGCAGGAGAGAGAGAGGGAGACGCAGAAUCCGAAGCAGGCUCCAGGCCCCGAGCUGUCAGCGCAGAGCCCGACGCUGGGUUUGAACUUACAGACUGAGAUCAUGACUUGAGCUGAAGUCGGUUGCUUAACCGACUGAGCCACCCAGGCGACCCCAGUCCAUCUCUUUAUGGAUAGACACAACAUUCCACAAGUGCCUGGUUCAAGGAACCAGGACCGCUGCUUUGAAAAGACACAAAUCAAUACA